ACGAGCGCUGGCGGCAUGCCUAACACAUGCAAGUCGAACGCGACCUUCGGGUCUAGUGGCGCACGGGUGCGUAACGCGUGGGAACCUGCCCUUAGGUUCGGAAUAACUCCCCGAAAGGGGUGCUAAUACCGGAUAAUGUCUUCGGACCAAAGAUUUAUCGCCUUUGGAUGGGCCCGCGUUGGAUUAGCUAGUUGGUAGGGUAAAAGCCUACCAAGGCGACGAUCCAUAGCUGGUCUGAGAGGAUGAUCAGCCACACUGGGACUGAGACACGGCCCAGACUCCUACGGGAGGCAGCAGUGGGGAAUAUUGGACAAUGGGCGAAAGCCUGAUCCAGCAAUGCCGCGUGAGUGAUGAAGGCCUUAGGGUUGUAAAGCUCUUUUACCCGGGAUGAUAAUGACAGUACCGGGAGAAUAAGCUCCGGCUAACUCCGUG
rnacentral:rRNA from 1 species